GAUGAACGCUAGCGAUAGGCUUAACACAUGCAAGUCGAGGGGCAUCACGAAUUAGCAAUAGUUUGGUGGCGACCGGCGCACGGGUGCGUAACACGUAUACAACCUACCUUCAAUUGGGGAAUAACCUGGAGAAAUUUGGACUAAUACCCCAUAGUAAACGGAAGAGGCAUCUUUUUGUUUUAAAGAUUUAUUGAUUGGAGAUGGGUAUGCGUAGGAUUAGCUAGUUGGUAAGGUAACGGCUUACCAAGGCGACGAUCCUUAGGGGUUCUGAGAGGAAGGUCCCCCACACUGGUACUGAGACACGGACCAGACUCCUACGGGAGGCAGCAGUGAGGAAUAUUGGUCAAUGGUCGAGAGACUGAACCAGCCAAGUCGCGUGAAGGAAGACGGCUCUAUGAGUUGUAAACUUCUUUUGUACCAGGAGUAAAGUGAGAACACGUGUGUUUAUAUUGCAAGUACUGUACGAAUAAGCAUGUAAC
rnacentral:rRNA from 1 species